GGCCCUAAGCCCCAAGCCUACAGAGACCAGAAGAUGGCGUUGAAUCCUCUGGAACUGGAGUUGUGAAAGUUCUGGGACUCCACCCCUGGUCUUAAUGACUCACCUACUCUCCAGCCCUGCCAUGCCCAGAUGCACACUAAACCUUCUCAACACACCUGGGAGCAAUCGUGUCCACACUCGUUCAUUCAUCUGGCACUGAAACCCAGCAAUGGCAUUACAACCUCCUUUCCCAGGAAUUUGCCCUCUCUGAACUGAACUGCUGAUAUGACUCUCCUAAGUGUAUCUGCAGUCAUCGAAAACACUGCAAGACUAGCUUCCUCACCCUUCAUAGUCAGCAGGAGCACAGAUCUGAGGCUUCCGCGUGGUUUCUGGCAACAUCACAGACCACAAGCAUGCACCAAGGACCUCUGCCUGGUCUCUCGUGGCAGUACGGACUCUGACAUCAACAUGGUCCUCUUCUGAAGCACGGGCACUGACCAGCAUGUUCUGCAGGAAAAGCAUGGACCAUGGAGGUCUUUUGAGGAGAUCCGACCCAGCACAUGGACCAUUCUUCAUCUAGAACAUCCUGUCCCUGUUCAGCACCAGCGCAAUCAUGUGACCAUGUUUAGGGACUGAGUUUGAGCAAGCUCCAGACUGUUGACCAUCGUCUGGCCGACUGACUGACCUACUGAGUAACAACCUGCUCCUCCAUCAACCACAGCCGUCUCUCACACCCUUCACAGCUGUCGAGUCUCCAGCUCCACCAUGCUCCACCCCUCCAUCUUCCCCACCUUUCCAUCACACAUUUGCAUAGUGGCAUUGGAAGCUGCAGUGUAUCUCACAAUAUACUCUUUUGCCAAACA